rnacentral:rRNA from 1 species
AGUGAACGCUGGCGGUAGGCCUAACACAUGCAAGUCGAACGGCAGCACAGUAAGAGCUUGCUCUUACGGGUGGCGAGUGGCGGACGGGUGAGGAAUACAUCGGAAUCUACUUUUUCGUGGGGGAUAACGUAGGGAAACUUACGCUAAUACCGCAUACGACCUACGGGUGAAAGCAGGGGAUCUUCGGACCUUGCGCGAUUGAAUGAGCCGAUGUCGGAUUAGCUAGUUGGCGGGGUAAAGGCCCACCAAGGCGACGAUCCGUAGCUGGUCUGAGAGGAUGAUCAGCAACACGGGAACGGAGACACGGUCCAGACUCCUACGGGAGGCAGCGGUGGGGAAUAUUGGACAAUGGGCGCAAGCCUGAUCCAGCCAUACCGCGUGGGUGAAGAAGGCCUUCGGGUUGUAAAGCCCUUUUGUUGGGAAAGAAAAGCAGCAGGUUAAUACCCCGCUGUUCGGACGGUACCCAAAGAAUAAGCACCGGCUAACUUCGU